rnacentral:rRNA from 1 species
AUUGACGCUGGCGGCAGGCCUAACCCAUGCAAGUCGACCGAGUGGCGGACGGGUGAGUAAUGUUUGGGAAACUGCCUGAUGGAGGGGGUUAACUACUGGAAACGGUAGCUAAUACCUCAUACCUUCGGUUGUGCCCUGAUGGGAUUGGCUAGUAGGGGGGGUAAAGGCUCACCUAGGCGACGAUCCCUACUUGUUCUGAGAGGAUGACCGGCCACACUGGAACUGAGACACGGUCCAGACGCCUACGGGAGGCAGCAGGGGGGAAUAGUGCACAAUGGGCGCAAGCCUGAUGCAGCCAUGCCGCGUGUAUGAAGAAGGCCUUCGGGUUGUAAAGUACUUUCAGCGGGGAGGCGUUACCCGCAGAAGAAGCACCGGCUAACUCCGUGCCAGCAGCCGCGGUAAUAC